rnacentral:rRNA from 1 species
GGUGCGAGCGUUAAUCGGAAUUACUGGGCGUAAAGCGUGCGCAGGCGGAUUGUUAAGCAAGAUGUGAAAUCCCCGGGCUUAACCUGGGAAUGGCAUUUUGAACUGGCAGUCUAGAGUGCGUCAGAGGGGGGUGGAAUUCCACGUGUAGCAGUGAAAUGCGUAGAGAUGUGGAGGAACACCAAUGGCGAAGGCAGCCCCCUGGGAUGACACUGACGCUCAUGUACGAAAGCGUGGGUAGCAAACAGGAUUAGAUACCCUGGUAGUCCACGCCCUAAACGAUGUCAACUGGUUGUUGGGGGAGUGAAAUCCCUUAGUAACGAAGCUAACGCGUGAAGUCGACCGCCUGGGGAGUACGGUCGCAAGAUUAAAACUCAAAGGAAUUGACGGGGACCCGCACAAGCGGUGGAUGAUGUGGAUUAAUUCGAUGCAACGCGAAAAACCUUACCUACCCUUGACAUGUCCAGAAUCCUGCAGAGAUGCGGGAGUGCCCGAAAGGGAAUUGGAACACAGGUGCUGCAUGGCUGUCGUCAGCUCGUGUCGUGAGAUGUUGGGUUAAGUCCCGCAACGAGCGCAACCCUUAUCAUUAGUUGCUACGCAAGGGCACUCUAAUGAGACUGCCGGUGACAAACCGGAGGAAGGUGGGGAUGACGUCAAGUCCUCAUGGCCCUUAUGGGUAGGGCUUCACACGUCAUACAAUGGUCGGUACAGAGGGUUGCCAAGCCGCGAGGUGGAGCCAAUCCCAGAAAGCCGAUCGUAGUCCGGAUUGUUCUCUGCAACUCGAGAGCAUGAAGUCGGAAUCGCUAGUAAUCGCGGAUCAGCAUGUCGCGGUGAUACGUUCCCGGGUCUUGCACACACCGCCCGUCA